UACAGAGGAGCCAAGCGUUGUCCGGAUUGACUGGGCGUAAAGCGCACGCAGGCGGCCGCGCGCGUGGGGUGUGAAAUCUGGCCGCUUAACGGCCAGGCGCCAUCCCAUACGGCGCGGCUGGAGCCAUGCAGAGGGCGGUGGAAUUGCCGGUGUAGUGGUGAAAUGCGUAGAGAUCGGCAGGAACACCCAGGGGGAAACCAGCCGCCUGGGCAUGCGCUGACGCUGAGGUGCGAGAGCGUGGGGAGCGAACCGG
rnacentral:rRNA from 1 species